GGAGGUUCUCAGGUGAUGCACACAGGAAUCGGGCUCUCCCUCUCUGUUCUGGAUGCAUCACCCAAGAACCGCA
rfam:Myotis davidii contig180432, whole genome shotgun sequence.